CUCUCCCUCUCUCUCAGUUGCAUUCUCAUGCUUUUGUUGUCAUGUUCUUGUUCUCAUGAUCAAUCGAUUGAUCUUUCACUCUCACCCUCACUCUAUCUCAAACAAUCAGAUGAGGAUAGAGAUAUGGGAAUCCACUCUCCCGUCCUGAUCUUCUUCACUCACAUCCCAGACAAUCUUGAUGCGUCGAACUCGCUUAAAAGAUUAGCAUCUCGGUCUUCUUGGACGAUUAGAAGUGCUUGCUAGUGAAAGGAUGGAAGGGAACAAGCUGGAGUUUUCCCCGUGGGAAAAAGAACAAAGAUGAGGAAGACCAUGCAUGUGCUGUUAGAGAAGUCCUUGAGGGAACAGGUUUUGAUGUUUCAAAAUUCCUAAACAAAGAUGACGAUAUUGAGAUGAUAUUUGGACAGCAGAGGGUGCGGCUCUACAUAAUUGCUGGUGUGAAAGACGAUACCGCCUUUGCCCCACUUAUCAAAAAAGAGAUCAGUGUAUGUUGCCUC